rnacentral:rRNA from 1 species
UGAGUAACCUGCCCUUAACUCUGGGAUAAGCCUGGGAAACUGGGUCUAAUACUGGAUAUGACUGCGCAUCGCAUGGUGUGUGGUGGAAAGUCCUGGGCUUAAUUGUCUGGGUUCGGCUGGGGAUGGGCCCGCGGCCUAUCAGCUUGUUGGGUGGGGUGAUGGCCUACCAAGGCGACGACGGGUAGCCGGCCUGAGGAGGGCGUCCGGCCACACUGGGACUGAGACACGGCCCAGACUCCG